UUCGCCCUUAGAGUUUGAUCCUGGCUCAGGACGAACGCUGGCGGCAUGCCUAACACAUGCAAGUCGAACGAAAGUAGCAAUACUUUAGUGGCGAACGGGUGAGUAACUCGUGAGCAACCUACCUUAUACACAGGGAUAACAUUGGGAAACUGAUGCUAAUACCUGAUAAGACCACACUAGGGCAUCCUAGAGGGGUCAAAGUGAUGGCAGUAUAAGAUGGGCUCGCGUCCAAUUAGCUAGUUGGUGAGGUAAUGGCCCACCAAGGCGACGAUUGGUAGCCGGCCUGAGAGGGUGAUCGGCCACACUGGAACUGAGACACGGUCCAGACUCCUACGGGAGGCAGCAGUGGAGAAUAUUGGGCAAUGGAGGAAACUCUUACCCAGCAAUGCCGCGUGAGUGAACAAGAAGGUCUUCGGAUUGUAAAACUCUUUGAUUAGGGAAGAUAAUGACGUGUACCUAAGGAACAAGCCCCAGCUAACUAUGUGCCAGCAGCCGCGGUAAUACAUAGGGGGCAAGCGUUGUCCGGAAUGACUGGGCGUAAAGGGUGCGUAGGUGGUUGUUUAAGUUGGAAGUGUAAUACCCGGGCUUAACUUGGGUGCUGCUUCCAAAACUGAAUAGCUUGAGUAUCGGAGGGGAAAGCGGAAUUCCUAGUGUAGCGGUGGAAUGCGUAGAUAUUAGGAGGAACACCAGUGGCGAAAGCGGCUUUCUGGAAGAUAACUGACGCUGAGGCACGAAAGCGUGGGGAGCAAACAGGAUAAGAUACCCUGGUAGUCCACGCUGUAAACGAUGGAUACUGGGUGUAGGGGGUAUCGACUCCCCCUGUACUGUAGCAAACGCAAUAAGUAUCCCGCGAGAGUAGUACGGUCGCAGGGCUGAAAGUCAAAGAAAUUUACGGGGACCCGCACAAGCAGCGGAGCAUGUGGUUUAAUUCGAAGCAACGCGAAGAACCUUGCCAAGAAAUUGACAUCUAUAUGAAAGCAAUAGAGAUAUUGCCCCUUUUCGGAGCAUAUAGACAGGUGGUGCACGGUUGUCGUCAGCUCGUGUCGUGAGAUGUUUGGUUAAGUCCAGCAACGAGCGCAACCCCUAUUAAUAAUUGCCAAUAUUUAGUUAGGAACUCUAUUAAGACUGCCGUAAAAAAUACGGAGGAAGGUGGGGAUGACGUCAAAUCAUCAUGCCCCUUAUGUCUUGGGCUGCACACGUGCUACAAUGGCUAUUACAAAGAGCAGCGAGAUGGUAACAUUAAGCAGAUCUCAUAAAAAUAGUCUCAGUUCGGAUUGUGGGCUGCAACUCGCCCACAUGAAGUCGGAGUUGCUAGUAAUCCCGAAUCAGAAUGUCG
rnacentral:rRNA from 1 species